AGAGUUUGAUCCUGGCUCAGGAUGAACGCUGGCGGCGUGCUUAACACAUGCAAGUCGAACGGGAAUGCCGCGCUGAUGCGAUUUCGGUCAAAUCAUGUGGCAUUCGAGUGGCGGACGGGUGAGUAACGCGUGGGUAACCUGCCUUACACAGGGGGAUAACACCUGGAAACAGGUGCUAAUACCGCAUAAGCGCACAGGGCCGCAUGGCCCGGUGUGAAAAACUCCGGUGGUGUAAGAUGGACCCGCGUCUGAUUAGCUUGUUGGCGGGGUAGGGGCCCACCAAGGCGACGAUCAGUAGCCGGCCUGAGAGGGUGGACGGCCACAUUGGGACUGAGACACGGCCCAAACUCCUACGGGAGGCAGCAGUGGGGGAUAUUGGACAAUGGGGGAAACCCUGAUCCAGCGACGCCGCGUGAGUGAAGAAGUAUUUCGGUAUGUAAAGCUCUGUCAGCAGGGAAGAAAGAAAUGACGGUACCUGACCAAGAAGCCCCGGCUAACUACGUGCCAGCAGCCGCGGUAAUACGUAGGGGGCAAGCGUUAUCCGGAAUUACUGGGUGUAAAGGGAGCGUAGACGGUGAUGCAAGUCUGGAGUGAAAGGCGGGGGCCCAACCCCCGGACUGCUCUGGAAACUGUGUAACUUGAGUGCAGGAGAGGUAAGCGGAAUUCCUAGUGUAGCGGUGAAAUGCGUAGAUAUUAGGAGGAACACCAGUGGCGAAGGCGGCUUACUGGACUGUAACUGACGUUGAGGCUCGAAAGCGUGGGGAGCAAACAGAAUUAGAUACCCUGGUAGUCCACGCCGUAAACGAUGAUUACUAGGGUGUCGGUGGG
rnacentral:rRNA from 1 species